rnacentral:rRNA from 1 species
CCAAUAGCGUAUAUUAAAGUUGUUGCAGUUAAAAAGCUCGUAGUUGAAUUUCGGGAUUGACGUGAUGGUCGUGCCUUAAGGGGUAUGAACUGUCGCUGUUGAUUUCUCACCUUCUGGAGAAACUUGAUGUCCUUAAUUGGGUGUCUUGCGGAUCCAGGACCUUUACCUUGAAAAAAUUAGAGUGUUUAAAGCAGGCAUUUUGCUCGAAUACAUUAGCAUGGAAUAAUAGAAUAGGACGGCAUGGUUCUAUUUUGUUGGUUUCUAGGAUCACCGUAAUGAUUAAUAGGGAUAGUUGGGGGCAUUAGUAUUCAAUUGUCAGAGGUGAAAUUCUUGGAUUUAUUGAAGACUAACUACUGCGAAAGCAUUUGCCAAGGAUGUUUUCAUUAAUCAAGAACGAAAGUUAGGGGAUCGAAGACGAUCAGAUACCGUCGUAGUCUUAACCAUAAACUAUGCCGACUAGGAAUCAGACGAUGUUAAUUUUUUAAUGACUCGUUUGGCACCUUACG